AGAGUUUGAUCCUGGCUCAGAUUGAACGCUGGCGGUAUGCUUAACACAUGCAAGUCGAACGGAAACGAUACUAGCUUGCUAGUAGGCGUCGAGUGGCGGACGGGUGAGUAACGCGUAGGAAUCUACCAGAUAGUGGGGGAUAGCCCGGAGAAAUUCGGAUUAAUACCGCAUAAUNUCUACGGAGUAAAGGAGGCCUCUAUUUAUAUGCUUUCGCUAUCUGAUGAGCCUGCGUAAGAUUAGCUAGUUGGUGAGGUAAAAGCUCACCAAGGCGACGAUCUUUAGCUGGUCUGAGAGGAUGAUCAGCCACACUGGGACUGAGACACGGCCCAGACUCCUACGGGAGGCAGCAGUGGGGAAUAUUGGACAAUGGGGGCAACCCUGAUCCAGCAAUACCGCGUGUGUGAAGAAGGCCUGAGGGUUGUAAAGCACUUUCAAUUGUGAAGAAAAGUUAAUAGUUAAUAA
rnacentral:rRNA from 1 species